GACGAACGCUGGCGGCGUGCCUAAUACAUGCAAGUAGAACGAAGUUGCGAACGGGUGAGUAACGCGUAGGUAACUGCCUCAUAGAGGGGGAUAACUAUUGGAAACGAUAGCUAAUACCGCAUACUGUGAGAUUGACCUGCGUUUGAUUAGCUAGGUGGUGAGGUAAAGGGUCACCAAGGCGACGAUACAUAGCCGAACUUCGAGGGUGAUCCGCCAAAACGGGAAUGAGACACAGCCCCGACUCCUACGGGAGGCAGCCGUAGGGAAGCUUCAGCAAUGGACGGAAGGCCUACCGCGCAACGGAGCGUUAGGGAAGAAGGUUUUCGGAUCGUAAAGCCCUGGUUUUAGAGAAGCGGUACCUAACCAGAAAGGGACGGCUAACUACGUGCCAGCAGCCUCGGUAAUUC
rnacentral:rRNA from 1 species